rnacentral:rRNA from 1 species
GGAAAGAUGAAUCAAAGAAGGUAAUAAUCCUGUAGUCGAAAAUGUUGUCUCUCUUGAGUGGAUCCUGAGUACGACGGAGCACGUGAAAUUCCGUCGGAAUCUGGGAGGACCAUCUCCUAAGGCUAAAUACUCUCUAGUGACCGAUAGUGAACCAGUACCGUGAGGGAAAGGUGAAAAGCACCCCGGAAGGGGAGUGAAAUAGAACCUGAAACCGUGUGCUUACAAGUAGUCAGAGCCCGUUAAUGGGUGAUGGCGUGCCUUUUGUAGAAUGAACCGGCGAGUUACGAUUUGAUGCAAGGUUAAGCAGUAAAUGUGGAGCCGUAGCGAAAGCGAGUCUGAAUAGGGCGUUUAGUAUUUGGUCGUAGACCCGAAACCAGGUGAUCUACCCUUGGUCAGGUUGAAGUUCAGGUAACACUGAAUGGAGGACCGAACCGACUUACGUUGAAAAGUGAGCGGAUGAACUGAGGGUAGCGGAGAAAUUCCAAUCGAACCUGGAGAUAGCUGGUUCUCUCCGAAAUAGCUUUAGGGCUAGCCUCAAGUGAUGAUUAUUGGAGGUAGAGCACUGUUUGGACGAGGGGCCCCUCUCGGGUUACCGAAUUCAGACAAACUCCGAAUGCCAAUUAAUUUAA